rnacentral:rRNA from 1 species
GCAAGAUUAAAACUCAAAGGAAUAGACGGGGACCCGCACAAGUGGUGGAGCAUGUGGUUUAAUUCGAAGAUACGCGAAGAACCUUACCUAGCCUUGACAUUGAUUGAACGGACCAGAGAUGGACCGGUGCCCUUCGGGGAACAUGAAAACAGGUGCUGCACGGCUGUCGUCAGCUCGUGUCGUGAGAUGUUGGGUUAAGUCCCGCAACGAGCGCAACCCUCGUCAAUAGUUGCCAGCAGGUUAAGCUGGGUACUCUAUUGAGACUGCCUUCGCAAGGAGGAGGAAGGUGAGGACGACGUCAAGUCAUCAUGGCCCUUAUGGCUAGGGCUACACACGUGCUACAAUGGGGCGUACAGAGAGUUGCGAUACCGCGAGGUGGAGCCAAUCUCAUAAAGCGUCUCUCAGUUCGGAUUGAAGUCUGCAACUCGACUUCAUGAAGCUGGAAUCACUAGUAAUCGUAGAUCAGCAAUGCUACGGUGAAUACGUUCCCGGGUCUUGUACUCACCGCCCGUCACACCAUGGGAGUUGAUUUCACCCGAAAUUGGGAAGCUAACCUUCGGGGGGCUACCACUUACGGUGGAAUUAGCGACUGGGGUGAAGUCGUAACAAGGUA